rnacentral:rRNA from 1 species
UACGUAGGGGGCAAGCGUUGUCCGGAAUCAUUGGGCGUAAAGAGCGUGUAGGCGGCCAGAAAAGUCCGCUGUGAAAACUCGAGGCUCAACUUCGAGCUGUCGGUGGAAACUUUCUGGCUAGAGUCCGGAAGAGGAGAAUGGAAUUCCUGGUGUAGCGGUGAAAUGCGCAGAUAUCAGGAGGAACACCGGUGGCGAAGGCGGAUCUCUGGGCCGUAACUGACGCUGAGGAGCGAAAGCAUGGGGAGCGAACAGG